rnacentral:rRNA from 1 species
GUGAGGAAUAUUGGUCAAUGGGCGCAAGCCUGAACCAGCCAUCCCGCGUGAAGGACGACGGCCCUAUGGGUUGUAAACUUCUUUUGUACGGGAAGCACGUGCGCUAUGUAUAGCGUAUUGACGGUACCGUACGAAUAAGCAUCGGCUAACUCCGUGCCAGCAGCCGCGGUAAUACGGAGGAUGCGAGCGUUAUCCGGAUUCAUUGGGUUUAAAGGGUGCGUAGGCGGCCCGGUAAGUCAGCGGUGAAAGUUUGCGGCUCAACCGUAAAAUUGCCGUUGAUACUGUCGGGCUUGAGUUCAGAUGAAGUGGGCGGAAUGAGUAGUGUAGCGGUGAAAUGCUUAGAUAUUACUCAGAACACCGAUUGCGAAGGCAGCCCACUAAACUGCGACUGACGCUGAUGCACGAAAGCGUGGGGAUCGAACAGGAUUAGAUACCCUGGUAGUCC